rnacentral:rRNA from 1 species
GUGCCAGCAGCCGCGGUAAUACAGAGGAUAUAAGCGUUAUUCGCAUUUAUUGGGCAUAAAGCAUCCUUAGAUGGUUUAUUAUAUUAUUUUAAAAAUUUAAAAAUAAUAUUUUUAAACAUUAAUAUUAAGAUUAAUAAACUUAGAGGGUAAAAUAAGUUUAAGGAAUUUUUUGAGUAAUGGUGAAAUAUGAUUUCUAUACAUUAAAGAAGGCCAAAAAUGAAAGUAUUAAACUGGUUUACUUCUGACAUUGGAGGAUGAAAGCUAAAGUAGCGAAUGGGAUUAGAUACCCCAGUAGUUUUAGCCGUAAAUUAUGAAUAUUAAAAUUUAGAAAUAAUAUUUUUAAAUUUAAAGUUAAUACGUUAAAUAUUCCGCCUGAAGAGUACACUCGCAAGAGUCAAAUUCAAAGGAACUGACGGGAACUUAUACAAGUGAUGAGCUAUGUUGUUUAAUUUGAUGCAGCCCAAAAAAUCUUACCAAUAUUUAACAUAAUUUAAAAUAAGUUUUUAUUAAAAUAAAAAUGUUAAUUAAUCUUAAGGUGGUGCAUGGUUGUCGUCAGCUAGUGCUGUGAAGUAAAUCAUAAAAUGUAAAACUAGCGGAACCCUUAUCUAUGUCUAUAUAUAGUAUAAAUAAGGACGAUGUCAAAUCUUUAUGCCCCUUAUGUAUUGGGCUAUUAGCGUGGCGCAAUGAUGAAUACAAGUGUAGAAAAUAUUUAUUAAACUUUUUAAAAAGCUUAUAAAUAUGAUUCAAAUGUAAAUUUCAUCUCAGUACGAUAUAUAAAUUGAAAUUUAUUUAUAUAGAGUAGUAACCACUAGUAAUCGUUAGUCAUAUAUAUAACGGUGAAUGAAUAAUUAAGUUUUGUACACACCGCCCGUCGCAUCCUGAAAAUGGAGUGAAUUUAAAUUAUUUAAAUAAUAAUAAAUAUUCAAUUCGUGAUUAGGAUGAAGUCGUAACAAGGUAACCGUA